CUCGUGUUUGAGAAGAGAGAGAGAGAGUUACAGAAGCGAAAGAGAUAGAGAGAGAUGGAGUUCGAGAUGGUAGAGUUGUGUCGGAGAAGACAUGGGAAGGGGCUCGAUUCCGUCGCACUCCGUUCGAUUCUGUCGUAGUCUUCACCACCACCACCAUGGUCACCUCUUUCUCUCUCUCUGUCUCUCUCUCUCUGUUUUGAUUAUGUUUUUCUUUGUGGGCAGAGCUGGUGGUCGUGAGCAGAGGAGACAAUACGGUGGUACCAAGGACUGGUAUGUCUCUGGUCAAGAUCUGCGUUGGCUUCACCUCCUCACCACCACCACAGAUUUGUUAAGGAGCAGGGAAGUAAAAUCAGUGGUGUGACAUAGCGGCGACUCCGGUCAAGCGUGAUGCAGCAGUGGUGCAAGCCGGUGGUGGGGUGGUGGUCGUGCGGUGGAGAUGCGGCGGGGACUGAAGAAGAUCGUCUGAUUGUAGUUUGGUGGGUGUAUUAGGUUUAGUUAGGGUUAAUUACUAAACCAAUUUGUAACUGUAAACCAAUGUAAUUGUAAACCAAUGUAAUU